rnacentral:rRNA from 1 species
UGGGGAAUAUUGGGCAAUGGGCGAAAGCCUGACCCAGCGACGCCGCGUGGGUGAUGAAGGCCUUCGGGUUGUAAAGCCCUUUCGUGCGGAAAGAACAGCCCUGUAGUUAAUACCUGCAGGGUUUGACGGUACCGCAGGAAGAAGCACCGGCUAACUCCGUGCCAGCAGCCGCGGUAAUACGGAGGGUGCAAGCGUUGUUCGGAAUUAAUGGGCGUAAAGGGCGCGUAGGUGGUUGUGAUAGUCAGAUGUGAAAUCCUUUGGCUUAACUGAAGAACUGCAUCUGAGACUUCACAACUCGAGUACAGGAGAGGGAAACGGAAUUCCCGGUGGAGAGGUGAAAUUCGUAGAUAUCGGGAGGAACACCAGUGGCGAAGGCGGUUUCCUGGCCUGAUACUGACACUGAGGCGCGAAAGCGUGGGGAGCGAACGG